AUCCAGAUGACGAGUCCCAAACAGGACGAAAUGUGCACCCUGGAU
rnacentral:hammerhead_ribozyme from 1 species